AAGCAGGCUGCAGUUACUCCCUGAGUGGAGAGAUUGGAGGCUGGCAAACCCAGAAAGGGGGCAAGCCAGAUAUGUAGGAAGAAACCCAGGGAAACAGCAGCAAGGGCAGGAUCUGUACAGAGGACUUGGCUGCUUGUUAUAGGGUCCCUGGGCUGGAACCCAGUGAGAAGGGUGGGCCCGGGUUCCCCUACCAGCCACUGGGAUUCGGGAAGUGGCAAGGCUGUUGUAGAUGCCAGUCACACAGCAGGUCCAGAAGGACUUUGAAUUCCCUGGAAGGGGAGGGCCAAGCCACGACUAGGAGACUGCAGUCCCUGGAGCAAGAGGGGCCGCAGUGUUCGAUGAGACACCACCGGAGAGGGAGCCUAGCGCUCGGCAGAGCUACUUCCCAGGAUGGCCAGCAGGAGAUGCCGCUAGCGGUUGACGAGAGCAGGGGAUGCGGGAGGAGGCCCUAGGGCGGGCUGACAGCUUGGGGCUGAUUCCGGCAGCACCCUGGUGAUCCUUGGCAGAGGCUGCUUCUCCCAUUCGCCCUGCAGAGAGAGUUGGAUGUUAGCAGGCACAGCUCACUGGAGCACCCUGUUGCACACCCUUGGCCCAGCUCCUCAGCGAGCGUCCAUCAGCCUCUCUCUGUUACGUCUGUGGAGCUACAUGGUUUUACAUCAGCUGAGAAUCUGCCUGCGAUUUUUUUUAAAGCAUUUUGCUCUCCUUUGUAACUAGAAUGCAGUGCCUGGUGGUCAGAGGGUGGGAUUAGAACAUCCUCCAAGCCAGGCCCUAUUUCUUUAGGGAGGAGAAGCGCCAUGAGGUAGGUAAGGCAGGACACCAGCUGAGCUGGAUUUCCUGCUGCUCUGGAUUCCAUAGCAUCUGACUCCCAAGCUUCCCCUGGGCAGUUGUAUAAUGCAGCUCGAUUUGUGAGUAACUGCCGCCGAAAAUGACGGUCACCUGGUUCCACCCGCUCUCUGCACGCACAGGCAGCUACUGCAUUACAGGCAUUGAUCCCUGAGAGCUUGUUCUUUCCACACGUUCCCUAAUGUGCAGCCGAACUAGCUAGAGAGCUUAGAGUGAAAAGAAGGUAUAACCCAUGUGCGAUUGCAAAUUGGAUUCAGUCCACUGUAAAGACAGAGAUAAUGAGGGUUGGUCAUUUUGGUGCCUGCAUGGUAACGAACAAAAAAUGAACUCUGUAGGCUGGCUUCUGCUUUAAGCUCCUGCCCAUGGUGUAAUUCCAUUGGCUUCUGAGGGAUAAAUGCCAUCGUAAUCUGAGGGCAAGAGUCGUUGGGCAGGUGCAUGCCUGACAUGAGACAGAGAGAAAGAUUCCCACUCAGAUUGCUAAGGAACCGGGGGCUGGAUCUUGCUGUGUAUGCAAAGGCGUCCUCUGCCGUGAACGUCCCUGGUGUUUGGUAAAACCGUGUCCGACAGCUUGUCUCACACGAGGCCCAACACAAACUGUAGAUCUGAACACGUCCAGACUGGGGAAGUCUGCUCCU